CCCCUAGACGUUCUGGGCUGCACGCGCGCUACAAUAAUACGCACAGCGAGUAUCACCGAGCUCGAAAGGGCAAGGUAAACAAUAGAAAAGGUACUGUAAUGGUUAUAGAUCCUUGUAAUUAUUGAUCUUCAACGAGGAAUUCCUAGUAAGUAUGUGUCAUCAUCACGCACUGAUUACGUCCCUGCCCUUUGUACACACCGCCCGUCGCUCCUGCCGAUUGGGUGAGCCGAUGAAACUCUCGGAUGUAGGCUAUUCAUAGCCCGCAGAAGAGAUUUGAAUCGUAGCGCUUAGAGGAAGGAGAAGUCGUAACA
rnacentral:rRNA from 1 species